CCCUUCACAAGAAGAGUUUCAAGCCUCGCAACUUCUUCCUCCAGCUCUGCACAUACCCUCAGUUACGAACCUAAUCCCUCAGCUAUGAUUAUUUCAAGAUCAACUUUGUUUCAUCGUGGGAAAGCUAUCAUCCAUGCGCAUCAGUGAUUUCUCACGUGUUCUGCUUAAUGAAAACAUAUACAUACAUGUAUAUAAUAUCACCAUCAGUCCUCAUGUAAGGCACUUUUCAGUUUACCACUGUAAGGCAAUAUAAGCCAUUCACUUAACAUCCAUGCAAAUAAUUAAUCGUCCAAAAAUGGAAGUAGCUGACUAACAUCAUAUAGCUGGCCAAUAAAAAGUAGUUGAAAAACAGUACUAACACUACAGUGGUAGAUCAACACAUUUAGCUACCACAUGGUAUUGGUAAGAACGGGAUAACAUGAUAAAGAUAAGCUGCUAAAUGCGUAUAAGUUGAAUCAGAGAGCAACAUAAUAUAUGGGCAUUCGAAAAGAGAAGGUAAAUUCUACAAUAAGAUACAGUUGUGGCCUUAUGGGAACUGGUCAAAUUUUACAAUAUGGGCUUCUGAGGUAUCAUAUGAUAUGUAUCAAGCUAAAUUCAAGUGUCUAAUUAUAAAUUCAAAUAAAAAGAAAAUUUAUGUGGUGUCUAGCCUUAAGUUUCUUCCAUUAUUUAGUUAUAUUGUCACUGUAAUCAUGCAGUUCAAAGCGUAGAAUUAUUCAGUAAACUGAUGUACUGAAAUGAAGUGGCUGUCAUCUUUUUCUUUCCUAAUUCAGAAUCUUCAACCUUAGGUACAGAUCAUGCCAUCGGUCCACAUAGCAAAGAUAAUGAUGCAGCCUCUGCCAACAAUAGAGCUCUCUCCUCAUAUUCAUAAAGUAAUAAAAAAACAAUCAAAUGGUUGCCAUCUUUUUCUUACUAAUUCAGAAUCUCCAAACUUAGGUACAGAUCCUGCCAUCGUCCACAUAGCAAAGAUCAACCAUAUCACUUGUGGAAAUGAUGCAGUCACUGCCAACAAUAGAGUUCUCUCCUCAUAUCCCUAAAAAUAUGAAAAACAAACAAAUCAAAAUUUAUGUAUAAAAGCACACUCAAAUAAGAAAAUCUGAGGCAAUAUGCACCAUGGCUUGAUCAGAGUGCAAGACAACAAGAGGAGAAGAGAAAGGCUAGAACCUGCAAGCUCAAGAAGCAGAGCAUGUUGUUGAGGCAAGGAAUGAGAGAAAUCUGAAUCGCCGGGUCGUGUCGUCUCGGAAGGUGAUGACCACAGGCAUACCCUCUUCCACCCCCGCGCCUUCGCCCUCUUCCUCGGGCAGCUCUCGUGGCUUCCAGGUCCAGCUGUUCGAUC
rnacentral:lncRNA from 1 species